GACGAACGCUGGCGGCGUGCCUAAUACAUGCAAGUCGAACGAGAGCGCCCGGUUCUUGCACUGUUCACUCUAGGGGCGCACGGGUGAGUCACACGUGGGUAACCUGCCCAUCAUAGGGGGAUCUCAUCCGAAAACGGGUGCUAACCCCGCAUAGGUCUCCGAACCGCAGGGUGUGAAGGGGAAAUGCGGCGCAAGCUUCUGCUCUUGGGUGUACCCGCGUUGCAUUAGGUGGUUGGUGAGGUAACGGCUCACCAAGGCCGUGAUGCAUAGCCGACCUGCGGGGGUGAUAGGCGACAUUGGGACUGAGACACCGCCAAAGCUCCUACGAGAGGCAGCAGUCGGGAAUCGUCCGCAAUAGACGCAAGUCUGACGGAGCAGCGCCGCGUGAGUGAAGGAGGUGUCCGGAUCGUAAAAAUGUGUUGUUAGUGAAGAACCAGUGCUAGAGUAACUGUUAGCGGCUUGACGGUAUCUAAUCAGAAAGCAACGGCUAACUACGUG
rnacentral:rRNA from 1 species